rnacentral:rRNA from 1 species
CAGCAGCCGCGGUAAUACGUAUGGAGCAAGCGUUAUCCGGAUUUACUGGGUGUAAAGGGAGCGUAGGCGGACGCUUAAGUCAGUUGUGAAAGUUUGCGGCUCAACCGUAAAAUUGCAGUUGAUACUGGAUAUCUUGAGUGCAGUUGAGGCAGGCGGAAUUUGUGGUGUAGCGGUGAAAUGCUUAGAUAUCACGAAGAACUCCGAUUGCGAAGGCAGCUCACUAGACUGCAACUGACACUGAUGCUCGAAAGUGUGGGUAUCAAACAGGAUUAGAUACCCUGGUAGUCCACACAGUAAACGAUGAAUACUCGCUGUUUGCGAUAUACAGUAAGCGGCCAAGCGAAAGCAUUAAGUAUUCCACCUGGGGAGU